GCAGACAGGUGCUCUGCUUUGGAGUGUGACGAUGUCGUCGGUGAUGUGGAGAGUGAAGUUUCCAUUUCACCCACAGCGUGCUUUAGGGCAGCCAGAGUGAAAGCAGCAGUUCCUCCUUAAGGUCAGAGAUUGCAGCAUCUGAGGACCUCUUCAAAAGAAGAUGUAGUUGAUGAAGGCGUUCUGGAGCAGGACCAGAAAGACCACGACCAAGCAGCCUUUACAUCUUAGGCAGCGUCUCCCUGAGGUCCCUCUCUAUCUCCACACACAUCCACCAACCACUGGAACACAUCUCCAAAGUUCUGCCGGGCCAGCUCAGCUUCCCCUCAGAAGAAGUGCUACCAGAUGAAGGAGCCUUUUGAGAGGCAGCUGGCAUCGUGAUUGGACUGUACUUUGGUCUGUUCCAAUCCAGCUUCAGCUCCAGAGACGGCAGGCGGGACGAGUCAACGGAGGCCGGGUGGACGAAGGCAUGCAGCUGAGUACAAUCCAGAAAACAACAGAGGAGGAGUGCAGUGGCCCAGGGCCAGAACAAGCAGAGUACCAUUGUAUGUCUCUUAGAAAACAUCAUAGUAUAGCCUUUGGUAUGAAAAAAACGCCAUCAUAUACAUCGUAUAUUGUACAAAUAACAAGUCAAAGGAAAGAGACAUACAUUGUAGAAUUGUAGUAAUUGUGGGCUGACUGAUUUACUGAUUAUCAGUAUUUUAUUUUAUACUGAUUUAUGGUAAUAAAUACAUUUAAAAAUGGCGCUACUUUGGCUCUGAACCUUAAUCUACCUGUGGUCGCUCUGUCUUCUGGAGUGAUUUGAUUGGUUAUACGUCACGAAUAAAAUUCCUUUAACUUAACAUCUGUAAACAAAACAAAAACAUAUCAACAAAGUUUCCUGUUAGAGUUUGUGUUCUUCUAAGUUUAACUCCAAGAUUUUAAAUACUUUCAUUUACUGCAAAUGAAUAUCGACUCCAAAUGUCUCAGUAAUAAUCAUUAUCAGCCUUAAAAACCCACAAAACACCCCUCUAUACUGGACCACACUUAGUACAGUCCGGUUCCCCCUUCUAUAAAUCUGCUUGGAAUCUUCCACUUCCUGUUUGUCAAAGUGGCCUUCUACCUGGACAGGUUUUGUUGGAGCUCAUGCAACAAACAUUUUGGGUAACUGCACUUUAAUAUGGAUGGAUGACACUGAAUUAGAG
ensembl:lncRNA